rnacentral:rRNA from 1 species
GAUGAACGCUGGCUGCAUGCUUAACACAUGCAAGUCGAACGAUGAAACGCAGCUUGCUGGGUGGGUUAGAGGCCAACGGGUGAGUGACACGUUAAUAACUAGCCAUUCACUCUGGGAUACUCCUGGAACACUCUGACUAAUACCUGAAAGCAACGCCUAACGCAUGGUGGGCGUUUGAACGUUUUAUCGGUUUUGGAUGUACUCGCAGCCUAUCCGCUUGUUUGUGUGGUAGUGGCUCUACAGGGCGACGUCGGGUAAGCGGCCUGAGAGGGCGACCGGGCACACGGGGACAGAGACACGGCCCAGAGUACUACGGGAGACAGCAGUGGGGAAGAUUGCACAAUGGGGGCAAGUCUGAUGCAGGGACGCCGCGUGAGGGAUGACGGCCUUCUGGUUGUAAACCUCUUUCAGUAGGGAAGAAGCGAAAGUGACGGUACCUGCAGAAGAAGCACCGGCUAACUACGUG